rnacentral:rRNA from 1 species
GACGAACCGUGCGAACGUUGUUCGGAUUCACUGGGCUUAAAGGGCGCGUAGGCGGGCAAGCAAGUCCGGGGUGAAAUCUUUCGGCUUAACCGGAAAAGUGCCUUGGAUACUGCUUGUCUAGAGGGAGAUAGGGGUUGCGGGAACUUCCGGUGGAGCGGUGAAAUGCGUUGAUAUCGGAAGGAACGCCGGUGGCGAAAGCGGGUCUCUGGACAGUUCCUGACGCUGAGGCACGAAGGUCAGGGGAGCAAACGGG